rnacentral:misc_RNA from 1 species
GGAAGGAUCAUUACUGAAUUGUCAAACGGGCUGUUGCUGGUCCUCGAAUGGGGACACGUGCACGCUCUGUUUACACAUCCACUCACACCUGUGCACCCUCUGUAGUUUUACGGUCUGGGGGACCCUGUCUUCCUUCCGUAGUUCUACGUCUUUACACACACACACUGUAAUAAAGUCUUAUGGAAUGUAUGCCGCGUCUAACGCAACACAAUACAACUUUCAGCAACGGAUCUCUUGGCUCUCGCAUCUAUGAAGAACGCAGCGAAAUGCGAUAAGUAAUGUGAAUUGCAGAAUUCAGUGAAUCAUCGAAUCUUUGAACGCACCUUGCGCCCCUUGGAUCUUCCGAGGGGCAUGCCUGUUUGAGUAUCAUGAACACCUCAACUCUCAUGGUUUGCCGUGA